GGGGAUGCAUUGGUUUCGACAGAAAUUAGGAAGCAUAAAUAGCGAGUGAUGGAUUCUCGCUUGGCCAUCUAAAAAAUGCGAGAAAAAAAAUAAUUAACAACAAUAAAGUUGCUUUAGCUGCCUAAGCGCGGCUUCGUUUUAUUUUAACGUGCCACUUGGUUAAAAUAAGGCGUCAAAUAAAGUGGAAACAAAACUAUUCUCGUUUCUGGAAUAGUGGGUAAUUUAGAAACUACUCAUUUCACGUUUUGUUUAUCUAGAAUGAAGUGAGGAAACUAUUAAGAUAAACUGCACUCGGAGAAAUUUAUGUGGAAAAAUUUUUGGACAGGAGUUCAACUCUCCUCAUCUCCACCA
rnacentral:tmRNA from 1 species